AGGCGACACACCCAAUUUUAAGUUGUAACGGUGGAGAAAAUGUCUAGAAACAGAAAGGACGUAAUGGGAAUUUUGAAGACAAAUUUUCUGGUGGCACAGUACCGAGCCUUUUCUUUUUCUCCCAUUUUCUUCUUCUUCUUCUUCCCCGCGAUUUCUUCUCUCUCGUGUUUCUUUUGCAACAGUCACUAUACAGUGACUGUUUAAUUUCCCGGCCACUAAUCGACUCCGUCGUGCAUCGGUUGAACGCGCCACCUUCAGGAAUUCUCCAAUUUUUCCAAAUUUUGGCCGGCAAUUUUUUGAGCUUUUCCGGCGACUCCGGCUACCGUUUCCAUCGAUUGAGGUAUUGUUCUUCAUCAUUUUUCCGUGAUCUAGCUGUUUAUGUAAGUGGUUUGGAUUGAUUUUGGAGUUUUAGAAGUCAACCAAAACACCCAAGUUUGGCCGGCGGUUUGGGCCGUAUUCGGGGUUGCUCCUACCACUUUUUAGCCGGGGUCCGAGAUAAAAAAUUGUUUCCCUAGUUAGUCUGAUCAUGUUGGUAUAUAUCUAGAUUAGAGUUUUGAUAAUUUUUCCGGUGAGAAAAAAAAUUGAUCAUGUUGGUAUAGGUCUUGACUAUAGUUUUGAUAAUUUUUCCGGUGAGAAAAAAAAUUGAUCAUGUUGGUAUAGGUCUUAACUAUAGUUUUGAUAAUUUUUCCGUCGUCGGAAAUUUCUCAAGACACCCACCAUUGCCGGUGAAAGACCAUAGGGUUGAGAUUCCCCAAUACCUAGAGUUAUGUUACCUAGGUGAUGGACUCAUGUUUCCUGGACUUUGUUUCCUUGUAUUAAGGACUCUUUGUCUCCUUUUGUUUGUAUGUGUUGUACUCAGUAUUAUAUUAAUCAAUGAUAUCCCACAACUCAACUAACCAAGUGAGUGUGGCCUUGCUCAUAAUCUUUCAUGGUAUCAGAGCCUCUGGCUAACACCAACUACCAAUCCCUUCUCUGCCAACAUUGAGAGUCAUUGGCACUCCUCACCCGUAAUGGGUGUUUGUUUCUGUAAAUCCUUUUGUUUCUCCUCUCCUCUAUAAUCAACAUAUUUUUCUUUCUACUUUAGCCGUUUACGCAGCUUCUUUUAUCACUGCAUUUUUCCUCAUUUUCUUUCCCUUCCAGUAUUUAAAAAAAAAAAAUGUCAUUACCUUGUUUAUGUUAAAUUUCCUCUCUUUUAUCUGUAUGGGCAAUAAGUCCCUUGGCCAUGAUGGCCUGAUCUGUUUCCUAUAGAUAGUACGUCCCUUGAUCACUAUGAUCUCUUUCCUCUGUGAGCUUCGUCACCGCUCGCUUUCCACCGCUAGCCUUGUCACCGCUCGCCGAGCCUUCUCCAGCAGGCGUUUGUCUUUGUUCCUGCCGAGCUACACUGCUGCUAUUGCCUUGCACAGCCGCCAUCUAUCCUUCUUUUGGCUCGAUUGGCCACUUAUCUCUGCUAACACCAAGCAGCCCCCCCAUUUCUACGUUUUGAGCAACCUCUCUGUUUCUCUCUUUGCUCUCUAACGAACUCUCCUUUCAAAUAUCUCUCUUUCCAACCCCUCUCUUUGUUAUGAGCUCUUCUCUGUGGUUGAGUUUCUUUCAUUUGGGUUUCUCUUCCCUGUUUGCUAUGGGACAGUGGUUUUCCUUUCUUUUCUUUCUAUUUUUCCUAUGAGCUGACCUCCCGGUUUCUUCUCUUUAUUUUUUUUUCUCUUUCUUUUCUGGUCUCUGUACACCCGUGACACCACUUUUCUUUAUUCUUCUUUUUCGGAGCCACUUCUUUUCUUCCACUCAUUUUAAAAUUUGCAACAUGCUCCCUUUCCCAUGCUUAACAGCUCGCCUUUUUUUUUUUCUUCCCCUUUUCUUUGUGACAAGCUCUCUCUCUUGAGCUCUCUCUGUUUUUUUUCUUCUGUUGCCCACUUGCUAGGUGUCUUUCCCCCUCUCCUUUGGUAUGUUACUGGGGUAUUCACUUCUUUUCUUCAUUGAUUUUAUAGUCUAACCUUUGCCUUUGCCAGGUCAUUGGCUAUCUCCUCAGCCCUUUUUCUUCUCUUUGCCUCGUGGCCACUUCCAUUUCCUUAUUCCUACUCCCUUUUUUAUUUUAUGCUUUCUUUUCUCAGCACUUUGUGUUCUCUCUCAUGUGCUCCUCUGGCACUACGCUCCUUUUCUGAUCCCUUUUUCCUUUCUUUUAUUAUCUUCCUCCCACAGGCAGCUACACAUUCUCUCUUCAUGUUGUUGUUGCACAGCAAGCAACCGCUUUCUUCUUUUUCUUAUUUGCCUGACGGGCCUUUUUCUUUUCUGUCAUAUUUUUCCGCUUUACACCUGAUGCCUCUUCCAUGCUCAAUCACAUGCUCUUGUUUUUUUCCAUGCUCAAUGAUAUCCCACAACUCAACUAACCAAGUGAGUGUGGCUUUGCUCAUAAGCUUUCAGCCGGCGGUAGGAAAUUGUUCCUCUUGCUAGUCUGAACAUGUUGGUAUAGGUCUCGCUCGAAGUUGUUGAUAUUUCCUUACAUUUACCCAAGAAAUCUAUUGCAUAAUGUUUUGACAUUAUUUUCUAAAACGGAGUGAGUUAUUUAUGUUGAAUAUAAAAAAUAUAUUCAACAUGAUCAGUUUCACAAGCCUAUUUUGUUUUGUUUUUAUUUUUUACAUAUUGCCUAUUUUGUUAAUAGGUUGAGGUUUUUGUUAUUUUGGUUAGAUUUUACUUAUUUUAUUAGUUGGUUAAAGUAUUUAUGUGUCUUUAGUUUUUCUUAAUAUAAUUGUUGUUAUAUAUAUUAAUAUAUUUUUGCUUAAUUAAAAUAAUGGGUUAAAAACAGGAGGGUAUGGGGAGGGAGCACUUGGCUAACAAGGCAACUUCCCAAGCACGUUGCAAACGCAAGGGUAAGACGACUACUGGGGUGCCCCCUCAGAAAAAAGCAAAGGGAAACAACAUCAGUUCUAUUGUAACCACUAAGCAAGGGCACGGUUCCCGACCAAAACACAAAAGCCAUGCAUAUCACCCAUUGUUCUGUGUGAGAAGAUACAUACACAAGAACCACAGCGAAUUCGAUCCGGUGGUACAUGUCAAAAUUACUGACCAUUUAUCUUACAGGGUAGAUAUUGGUAAUAAUUGUCAGCUCAUUUAAUUAAUUUUUUGUUUUUAUGUUUUGUUUUGUAAGCAUCAUUUUGUUUUUAAAGUUCAAUUAGUCCAACUGUGUGCUAAGUAAAUCCUUGGCAAUUUGAUUGAUUGUUGGUAUUAUGUUUAGUUUUUCUCAACUUGUUUUGUGCAUUCCACUUAAGCAAUUAGAUUUCACAUAUUCAAUUACCCGCUUUCUGUCUGCCAAUUGGAUAUUUGUAAAUCCAAUUGCAUUUCAAGUUUGUUGAGUAUGCAUAAUUUUGUUUUUAUAUUCCAUUAAUUCAAGUGCAUGCUACGUAAGUAAAUCCUUGACAAUUUAAUUGAGUGUUGGGAGUAUGUUUAAUUUUUCUCAACUUGUUUUUGUGCAUUCCACUUAUGCAAUUAGAUGUGACAUAUUUAAUUACCGCCUUUCUGUUUGCCAAUUAGAUUUUUUGUAAAUCCAAUUGUGUUUCAAGUUUUCAGAAUAUGUUGCAUGGAAAGUGUUCUUAUGACUAAUUCAAUUUUUGACACUUGCAGAAUUCGGGUAACCACUUUAAGGGAUGCGGAAAUGACAAAUUCUGUGGUUUAUGGUUUCAAAGCCAUUUGCCUGGUCCAGUAAAGGAUAAAGUCAAAGCAACAAAGUUUUCAUUAGUUUGCAAAAUUACUUGCAAGAAAGGGAUGGAGAGAUAGACACCUCAUUACGGCAUUGGCGGGGCGUUGGUGGGACAGUACCUGUACAUUCUAUUUGGAUGAGGUCGGGGAGCUUAUAAUGACCCCAAAGGACUUUAGUGCAAUCUCGAGUUUACCUGUUUGUGGGAAACCUUUAAAUUAUGACAUGGAGGCCUACAAAAACACUAUAGAGAUAGUGAGGCUAUUCGGGAACCCCAUUGCAAGCAUAAUUAAGGACAAAAACAUUGUGGAUAAGUACAAGGAAUGGAAGCUGCAAACCACUAUACAAGAAAACCUGUUAACUCGUGUCUUCAUUCUCACAUUGGUCGACAACACUAUAUGCAAUGAUAAGAGCAACUCUGUUUAUCUAUACUAAAUGCCCAGCAUGGCUAAAGUGGAUGAGAUUAAAGAGUACAAUUGGGGUGGGGCUGGGUUGUCAUGCUUGUAUCUGUCGAUGGAUGCUAUUUCUAGAAGGAUAGUGUCAAGCUCACGAGGGUAUUUUCAGGCUUGGGAGGUGAAUAAUUUUAUGUUGACAAACUAAAAGAUUCUUAUAAUUCCUUGCGUUUGGGUAUUUUGGUCUUCAUAACUAAUAGUGGUUUGUUUUUUGUUUAUAGGUAUGGGCGUGAAGUACUCGAAGCCACUUGCUUUAAGUCAACCAUUUACCGAUGAAAGUAGUUAAUGGUUUCGCGCGUUAUGGUGGUUGGGUGGCUUGGAUGUGCGGGAAACACCCCACAACUUGGAGCAGUUUAGAAUAACUAUGAGAUAUAUCACUACUGAUCAAGUCAAUUGGCAUCCAUGGGGAACUGAUGAUACAACCCUACAACAUUAUGUGCAAAGCAGCAUUCUAGCUACAAAACAAAGAAUUCUACUCGAAGGACUUGUCGGGUAUGCCUGGUAUUAAGGGGAAAGAGUAUCCGUGCAAAGCCUAGCUACACCAGAUCAGAGGAUCCUAAAAAUACCCCGUUGAACUAUACUCUAAGAUGUGAAAGUAUAUGCCGUGGACAAUGAAACCAAAGCAUCACUUAAGGGAUUUAAAGCAGAG
rnacentral:lncRNA from 1 species